rnacentral:rRNA from 1 species
UACGGGGGGGGCAAGCGUUGUUCGGAAUUACUGGGCGUAAAGGGCUCGUAGGUGGCCAACUAAGUCGGACGUGAAAUCCCUCAGCUUAACUGGGGAACUGCGUCCGAUACUGGAUGGCUUGAGUUUGGGAGAGGGAUGCGGAAUUCCAGGUGUAGCGGUGAAAUGCGUAGAUAUCUGGAGGAACACCGGUGGCGAAGGCGGCGAUCUGGGAAGAUACUGACGCUGAGGUGCGAAAGCGUGGGGAGCAAACAGG